rnacentral:lncRNA from 1 species
GAGUUUGAAAUUCUUGCUUCAGGCCAUAUGGAGUGGAUAUUCCUUCCAGAAGGAAAUUACAGACCACUCUCUGUUUCUACUCAACUGCUUUUCACUCCAGGAUGCUUCACCUCUUGGGGCCUUCCCCAGCAGAGGCCCAGGAUCACCUGCAAAAGGCUUCCCCAAGGGUGGGGCCAGAAGCAGGGCUGCAGAUAUGUGUCCUGAACCUCCCAUGGACCCUGCUGGCUCCCUUCAAAGGCUUCGGGCAUAGCGACUUGCCUUUCCGUCUUGUUCAGUCGUCACCAGUCAGCCGUCUGCAGACUUCUCUCCCUCACGUUGUGGCAGAGGAGUUGUACAUUCUCUAGAUUUUAAAAAUAUAUAAGUUACUUUUUCUUUAAAAUAAAAAUUGUCUCUGAAAUAAAAAAAAAAAAA